UACGUAGGGCGCAAGCGUUAUCCGGAAUUAUUGGGCGUAAAGAGCUCGUAGGCGGUUUGUCGCGUCUGCCGUGAAAGUCCGGGGCUCAACUCCGGAUCUGCGGUGGGUACGGGCAGACUAGAGUGAUGUAGGGGAGACUGGAAUUCCUGGUGUAGCGGUGAAAUGCGCAGAUAUCAGGAGGAACACCGAUGGCGAAGGCAGGUCUCUGGGCAGUUUAGCUGACACUGAGGCGCGACAGCGUGGGGAGCAAACAGG
rnacentral:rRNA from 1 species